CAAUGUGAGGAAAGUGGAAUGAACUUGGACUUUGAAGGCAAACUAACCUGGAAUCAAAUACUGGCUCUGCUGUUUGCAAGUGUGAUCUUUGGGUGUGCUUCCUAAUCUGUGAGCUUCAACUUCCUUCUCUGUAAACCAAGAUCAAAGACAAACAGGGAAACCUACUUGUCUGGUGCCCAUCCCCUUGGCAGAACACUCCUCUGAAGGAUGACAGUUUGGCUGUGCCAGGGCAGAGCUGCCCACACCAAAUAAGCCUUCAUAGCAACUAUCUGAUGAGGAACUCACUGGCCUACCUUUCCUUGACAGCUGGGGCCUGCCAGCCUUGAAGCAUGACUCCACAACGCCCCUACCCAAGGCCAUGGAGGUUGCUGCUGAUGAGCAAGCUGUUUUAUAUUUAAUCCAGGUUUCUGCUUGGAGAGGAAGAAGGUAGAGGAGCCAGCGAAGGUUUGUUUGAAUGAUACUUGCAGAAAAAACACUGGUAGCAGUCACAAAACUUUGAAAAUUAAAGUGCCAGCGAGGUGGCUUUUGGUGGCCAGAUGAAAGCUGUUAACCCCAGCUUUUACAAAUGCUGGGCUUUUGAGUAA